GGGCCCGCACAAGCAGUGGAUUAUGUGGUUUAAUUCGAAGCAACGCGAAGAACCUUACCAGGGCUUGACAUCCUCUGACCGCUCUAGAGAUAGAGCUUCCCUUCGGGGCAGAGAGACAGGUGGUGCAUGGUUGUCGUCAGCUCGUGUCGUGAGAUGUUGGGUUAAGUCCCGCAACGAGCGCAACCCCUAUGGUCAGUUGCCAUCAUUUAGUUGGGAACUCUGGCCAGACUGCCGUGGACAACACGGAGGAAGGUGGGGACGACGUCAAAUCAUCAUGCCCCUUAUGUCCUGGGCUACACACGUAAUACAAUGGCAACGACAGAAGGCAGCGACCCCGCGAGGGUGAGCGAAUCCCCAAACGUUGUCUCAGUUCGGAUUGCAGGCUGCAACUCGCCUGCAUGAAGUCGGAAUUGCUAGUAAUGGCAGGUCAGCAUACUGCCGUGAAUACGUUCCCGGGCCUU
rnacentral:rRNA from 1 species